rnacentral:pre_miRNA from 12 species
CAGCCCGCCCCGUCUGGAAGACUAGUGAUUUUGUUGCUGUCUCACCGGUUCAACAACAAGUCCCAGUCUGCCCUACGGUGUGGGCCC